CUCAGCUCCGGGCAUUAUCACGUCCCUGCACCAACUUGACAGCUCACAUUCUCCCCCCGACGCCGAAUCCCCUUUCUCCCGGAGCCUCACCAAUUUGGAUCGACGACGCAAGGCCGCCGGCCGGAACCCAGUCGAGUCGAGCUCCUCCCGGCGCGGCCUUCAGCAGUGCGCAGCGCUCCAGCUCGUCUUCACCGUCCAGCCCGAAGAAGAUACAGUGUGCAGGAUCUGAAGUAUCAACCUCUUUGAUAUUCCUUCUCCCGGCAGCGGCGCACUUCGUCGGUUUUGUCCCGCUCGGCACUCUCCUCCCAGGCUCCCACCCAGUGUUUGCCGGUGGAGAC